UACGAAGGGGGCUAGCGUUGCUCGGAAUCACUGGGCGUAAAGGGCGCGUAGGCGGAUCUUUAAGUCGGGGGGUGAAAGCCCAGGGCUCAACCCCUGGAAUUGCCUUCGAUACUGAAGAUCUCGAGACCGGAAGAGGUAAGUGGAACUGCGAGUGUAGAGGUGAAAUUCGUAGAUAUUCGCAAGAACACCAGUGGCGAAGGCGGCUUACUGGUCCGGUUCUGACGCUGAGGCGCGAAAGCGUGGGGAGCAAACAGG
rnacentral:rRNA from 1 species